CCCAAGUGAUCCACUUUCUUUCAUUCCUUACCAUUCAUUUACACUCAACAAUUCACCACACAUUUUCAAUAGUAUAACGCAGAGAGGGAGAAAAGGGGGAGACGAGAGACUGAGAAAUAGGGGAAGAGGGAGUAAGAGAGCACGAGAUGCAGAGGGAAGAGGGGAAGCGGGGAGCAGCGUCGGUGGGUGUCACUACCACCGUUACUGCUGUUGCUAUCGAUCAGAAGAGGGAGGGAGGCUGUCGCACUUCUAGCCGCCGCUGUUGAAGCUCUCCUCACCACUGUCAACGUCGGUUAGGGCAGAGGAGAAGAGGAAGAAUAACGGAGAAGAAAGACUGACGGGGAGGCUAAUACGGUGGCUGUUGAUUUGGAGCUACUACAAGAACGGCAGUUCCUGCUUCUAAUCCCUGUCCUUUUGAUUUUUUUUUGGAGCUGCCGUGCAUGGAGCUUGUCAUCAGAGAAAGCAAGCUGCCGCCACCAACUCUCAAUUAAGCUAGGAUCCUUCUCCUUGUUCUGAUUCCAAUUUCCCCAUUUUUGAAAUCCCCUUUUUUGGCUCCUAUUUCCUGCUACAAUUAGGUCGAGUAUUGAAGCUGGUGCUGCCAUGGGACGGUUGAAGCCAUUACUGAUUCUGAUUUUGUUAUCUGGAGCUAAAAUUGCUUUUGAUUCCUCUCCAAUUUGAAUCCUCUAUUUUACUACAAUCAUGGUCAAUGCUGCGAAGGCUAAUAUUGUUGCUGUUCCGGUUGCGUGAGAGUUACCACUGCUGCCCUGAAACUAAAAGAGAAGAGAGUUGUUACAUUAAAGUAUGCGAUUGCGACAUCGAGCAUUCUCGACCUCUACUGAGAACAUGUGGUUGGGUUCUCACCCCCAAAUUUUCCACCCUUUCAGUGACACAGGUUUGAAGAUGCAAUAUGAAGCUGCAAGCGAUUAGUAGGCUUUCUUUAUGGUUUUAAUGCAUUCAUAGAGUCCCCUCGCUCUUGUCCUUUGAGGUUUUAUUUUAACAGAGGGGUAGGUGUUGUAUUUGGGUUUAUAUGACUUCUUAUGUAUACGAAUUACUUUUAAUAAUACUUAUGUGAUUGUUAUUAUUAUUUGCAAUA